CUGUGGGGCCUUUGUGUUUGGGAUCACCAGCUGGGAGCAGACUAGCAGCAUGUCAAGGUUGCUGCGUCCUGCAAAGAGAGCAAGAAGUUAAUCUAUUUCUUGUCAGGAGAACUGUGGUAGCUGUGAGGGAUCCCAGCUUCUAUCCCCUUCGUGGGCACCAGUGCUGGCAUUCCCGCUGGACUUCCCUCCUUCUUCCCUCCUGCAGACUCCUCUCUUCCUGGGGUCGCUUCCUCCCCCCUGCAGCAAGUACCUCCUUGUUCGCUCUGUUUCUCUACUGAUAAAUUAAAUUAUGCUUGUUGAUUAAGUGUAAAAUUAAAUAGUGUGUAGUAAAUAA